GACUAGUCUUGGGGGGGGCAAGGGGGGGGAAUCACAGAUCCAGUUUGAUUAGGAAGAUACAUUGAGGGGUUUACCCCAUAGAAGACAUCUUCUGCCCAUGUUCCACUUCUAGCGCGGAAAGCUGGGGAACAGUCUAGCCCAGGGCCUCACUCAGUGUGCACACACAAUCACACGCACAUCACCACCAAACACCUUGCUACCAAAGGAAGAGAAUUCCCAAAGCUUGAAACUACUACUUUGCUAGACACUUAUAUUA